GUGGGGAAUAUUGCACAAUGGAGGAAACUCUGAUGCAGCGACGCCGCGUGAACGAUGAAGGCUUUCGAGUCGUAAAGUUCUGUCCUAGGGGACGAUAAUGACGGUACCCUAGGAGGAAGCCCCGGCUAACUACGUGCCAGCAGCCGCGGUAAUACGUAGGGGGCAAGCGUUGUCCGGAUUUAUUGGGCGUAAAGGGUUCGCAGGCGGCCUUUUAAGUCAGGUGUGAAAGACUACAGCUCAACUGUGGUAAGCACUUGAAACUGGAAGGCUUGAGUUAAGGAGAGGAAAGUGGAAUUCCUAGUGUAGCGGUGAAAUGCGUAGAUAUUAGGAGGAAUACCAGUGGCGAAGGCGACUUUCUGGACUUAUACUGACGCUGAGGAACGAAAGCGUGGGGAGCAAACAGGAUUAGAAACCCUAGUAGUCC
rnacentral:rRNA from 1 species